rnacentral:rRNA from 1 species
AGUGAACGCUGGCGGUAGGCCUAACACAUGCAAGUCGAACGGCAGCACAGUAAGAGCUUGCUCUUACGGGUGGCGAGUGGCGGACGGGUGAGGAAUACAUCGGAAUCUACUUUUUCGUGGGGGAUAACGUAGGGAAACUUACGCUAAUACCGCAUACGACCUACGGGUGAAAGCAGGGGAUCUUCGGACCUUGCGCGAUUGAAUGAGCCGAUGUCGGAUUAGCUAGUUGGGGGGGUAAAGGCCCACCAAGGCGACGAUCCGUAGCUGGUCUGAGAGGAUGAUCAGCCACACUGGAACUGAGACACGGUCCAGACUCCUACGGGAGGCAGCAGUGGGGAAUAUUGGACAAUGGGCGCAAGCCUGAUCCAGCCGUACCGCGUGGGUGAAGAAGGCCUUCGGGUUGUAAAGCCCUUUUGUUGGGAAAGAAAAGCAGCAGGUUAAUACCCCGCUGUUCUGACGGUACCCAAAGAAUAAGCACCGGCUAACUUCGUG